UAACGGACUUUUGUUCCUCGUUUUUUUGUGGAAAUUUAUUGUUCUGUAAAUUUAUUUGUUCUUAUGAAACUGUUUUUUAUGUUGUACGCAAUGAGUGUGAGUUACAGUUGGAUUUUCUGUUUUACCUUCCUGCUCCUGAUACACAAAGUGUCGGUGCAGAGUGGUCAUGUUGAAGGUGUCAUUGGACAAACAGUAACCUUACCGUGUUCAAUCACCCCAAUGUCACUGGAUGUGUUUUGGCGGGACAGUGCCGGCAGGACGGUGUGUGACAUUAUUGCCGGUAAAGCAGAUUACGAUGAGCAGGACCCUGUCUAUAAAGACAGAAUAAAAUUUGAAAAUGGGAAUGGGAAUUCUUCUAUAAUGCUAAGCAACGUGAUGAAGUCUGAUGCAGGAACGUACACCUGCACCUCCCCUAACGUUAAAACCCAGAGUGUAGAACUAACUGUUACAGAGAGACCAGUCACAACGGAGAGACCAAAGACCCAAACGACAACACAAAAAGAACAGAGCCAAAACAAAAAAGGGCGUUCUGGGAACGGUGACAUGGCAAAACAAGCAGACGGUCUGUUAACGUUCCUCCUGGCAUGUGCACUGCUUUGUAGCUUAGUCUUUUAAAGAAACCCCAAGCUCAUUGUGCAUUAGCUUUACAUACAUAUUAACAUACAUAUACCAAUAAGAGAUUUGUGACCUAGUACGCAUUGCUGCAUGUUAUGUUGGCAAGGAGCACUGUAUAUUAAUUAACAAGUAGUAUAGAUAAUCAGCUUUAACAAGAAAUAUUUCCAAUAACCAACAAAGUUUAAUGAGGUCUAAAACAUUUCCAUUGUUUUAUUUAUUUAUUGUGUUUCACCACAGUAUCCUGGAGUCGAUCAGAAAUAAUGAAUAUGUACAGACUUAUUUUAAAUUUAACGAUAUUUCCUAAUUCCAGUAAAAUGCUUAGUUGAUUCAGUUGGUUUCACUUAGCCAGUGAGUGACUUAGCCAACACACUUUUUACACUGCAUUUUAUUUUUUUCCCUAAAAACUAAUUCUGUUACGUUUAAAAUAUGAUUCAGGUCAUUGCCCUUUUGCAAUGUUUAGUCCAUCCAAUUAGAUUUAAAACUUGCCAUGUCACAUUGAUGCACUAAUUUAUGCUAAAGGACCCCUGACAAAGUAUUAAGUCUGUAAAUUAACAUGCUUUUCCAAAUUUUAACUUUUCUAUAAAGUACAUUUAUUUUAUUUUUAUUUUUUUUGUAAAUUUGUAUUGUAAAGAUCUUUCUUUACUCCACUUUUUUUUGAGAUACUGAAUUUCAGUUUUCCUUAGGUGGUAAGCCAUAGUGAUGGAAAAAAAAAACCCAGAAUCAUUAGAAAACAGGCUUCAGUUUGCUAAUGUACUGUAUAUACAUAUUUUAAUAAGCGUAAAGAUUGGGCUUUGAUGAGAUGGAAAAAGGUCAUGUGGCCUGAUAAGCCCAGAUUGAGCCUAUUUCAGAGUGAUGGGUAAGAAGCGAAGCGCAUGGUUUGUUAAAAUGCCUGCUGGAAUGUUCUUUACGCUACAGCUCAACCUUCUGAAGGAAGCUAAGCCUGUGCAUUAGCAGACAGCACAGGAAUUACAGUCAUGUUCAAAACGUAAAAAUUAAAAAAUUAUCUUUUAAUUAUGUAAUAUAAAAAAAAAAUCACCUGAUUGUAGAGGGUUCUCUGUGUUGGGUAAAAACCUCAGAUGAACAUCAUAUAAUGUUACAUGCAAAGCGGUCAGAUGUGUGACAUAAGCAAUUGUCAUAGAGAAGCAAUUGUUGCUGCAGAUGAGUUUGAAAAGGGUAAAAAAAUUUCAAAACAAAUUGGAGUUCAGUGAUCUACAGUGAGUCAUUUUUCACAGAAGACAUUCAGGACAGUUGUCGUCCCAGCACAUUCACCCCAAGGUCAAAUCGUGCAAAGCUCAAAGAAAUAGAAAAAAGGGCUACAUCUCAGAGCCUAAACCCCACUGAGCAUGUUAAAUGAUCCAUGACAGUCCAUGACAGCACAAUUAAAUAAAGACUAAACAUGUAUAGUUUGUUUGGAGGGGGUUCCCAGGAGAAACCUCUUCUGUCUAAAAAGAUGUGGAAUAAUGACUGAGGUUUUUAAAAUUGAACCAAGCAGAAAGGUUCUGAAACAACGUCCUGACCGAUGAGACCAAAGUGAACUUGAUUGGCCUUAAUGCCCUGUUACAUGUUUGACGACAACCAAACACCAUUUCAGCAGGAACGCCUCAUAUCCAUCAAUGGAUUGAUAGGUGAAGAGUAAAUCAAAACGAUGUGAGAGACUGAUAGUCACUGAAAGAGCCACAAAAUUCGACAGAGUGGUAGAUCCCAUGCGGGAAUAACCUAAUGUGGUUAUUGGAAUUGGAUUUAUGGGUGCUGUGUAGAAUAAUUUUUUUUUUCGCUUAUGGAUCAUGCCGACAACCAUAUAACAUCCAAACAUUUGUUUGUUUUUCUUCAACAGCUAAAUAAUUUUGUUGUCCACCACAGUUGUCUUCUGUGCCUUUUAGUUUUAAUCAAUGCAUUCCUUUUUUUUUUUUUUUUUAAAGAAUUUACAGAAUACUUGUUCGAAUAAAACACUCCUGGCCAUCUAACAGUUGAGCAGCCAACUGUUAAUUUACUUUUGGUUGCUUAGGAAGGUAGGGACCAACAGAAAAAGUGCAGGAAUCAUUUACCAGAGUUAGAUGUCUAACCCCUUACAUUAAUACUGAAAGUCUGCACUUUGGUAUUAUUUUGAUUUUUUAAACUCCAGUGAACUGUGAAUGAUAAAGUCUUAAAUAACAAAAUGUUACUAUAGUGAAAUAUACUGAAAUGUUCUUUUAUUUGAUGAAGAAUGAUUAAGUAUUUUAAAACUUAUUUUGAUGUUAUUUAUUUAAAUGUAUUCAGUUUAAUUUGAAUUAUGUUACUGGAAAUUUCAGUCUAGCUCCUCUCGUCAGCACAGUGUGACUUACUUUGCACAGUUUUAUGGUCAGCGCAGAGCCUGCAGCUGGUUGUAACAUUUCAACUCAUUUAUAGAGAUUGUAGAUAAUGGACUGCUCUAUUCUUUGCAAUGUUUUAUUUAUUAUCACUGUACAAUCAGCAAGACGAUCUGAGCAGGAUAAUAAGACUACAUUCAUGAUCAAGACACAAGGCAGAUUUCAGCAUUUCGGCCUUUGUAAAUGCAACAUUUUCAUUAGAUGAGGUCUGUUACUUAUUUAAAAUAAAUGUACACAUCUGUCUUUGUUAAAUAACACUGAACAUUUUGAAGUUGAAAAAAGGUUUAAUAAUCAUAACCUUUUUAUUGAUUGGAAUAUAGUUACUUUUGCUGUGUAGUUCUGUGUAUUUCUGUUUAUUCAGUCAUUCCAAGUGUUUGCUCUACAUAUCAGUGUCUGAAUAAAUAAUGUUUGACGUUACACUUUAUUUUUCUUUUCUCGCUGUAAAAAAACUGUGAAAGUUACUGCAUUCUUUUGCUCAGAAACGAGGAUCCAGAAUUUUAAGUAUGUGCCAGAUAAUUCUCUGAGAUACCAGAAAAGCCAGCUUGGAUGCAUUUUAAAUGCAUGAUUUUGUAUCCAUGAAGCAUUCCAUAUUGGUUUUGUUACGUGAGGCGGUAUGGAGAGCAGCACCACGAACGUUAUAAUGUGUAUAAGAGCCCUAAUGCAGGGCUUUAGAGGGGAUCAAUGAAAUAGGAUUUGUUUUGAGAGUGCUUAUAAUACGCACGGGAAGACCUUUCCGAGAUCUCAUAAUUUCUAAAGGAUGUUGGUUUCUGUUCCAUUUAUUUAAUAAUAAACUGUUUUGCUCGUGUAUUGCACAAUGAGUGUGAGGUAUGUACCGUUGUUUCACGAAGACAGACCAUACCCAGCGGGCACAACACAUGUAAUCCACGUGGAUUUCUGGUGGAUAUUUGGUGAAGUGGUGGAUCCACCAAUUUUCACCUGAUAUCCACGUUGAUUCCACGUGGUUUUAGGCAAGUGGAAAACCUGUUCUAAAUUAAUGUGGAAUCCACAUGGAGUUUUAGAUCUACAUUAUUCUUCGCCCAUUUCCACGUGGAUAUCACGUGGAAAAUAAUUUUGUACCACCUAUUGAUGGUUGCUGGAUUUAAUUUUGAAUGCAUAUUUUGUAUGCUUUUACAUAAAUGUGACAAUCAUUGAUUAACAUUAAACACACUCUAAAAUAAAAUGACGCAUGUGACGCGUCCAAUGUGUUCUAAAGGUGAACACAUGAGCCAAAAUGUGUUCUAAAAUGGCAUUUUCAAAAUGUAUUACUGAUCGCCUAAAUGCCACAUCUGACUACAACGUACACUGGAUUUGCAAACUAAAAAGUAGUUUAGAACACCGAUGUGCUAUCAGAGGCGACACAUAGGCGUCGCUGCGCAGAGUGACUUUGCAGUCUAGCGAGUGGUACUGAGCAUGCGCAGUGAACAGCCUUUCCUGAAUCCUGUUUUUUUUCAGUGGAAGCGCGAAACAUUUAUAGCUAAUAAAAAGAAAUUAGAAACUUCGAAAUUUGUUUAAAUUUGUGGUCUGCUAAAGUUACAAAGUACCCGUGGCAAUCGUGUUUCAUACAGAGAACAUUUGUGUGUGAUGUUACAGGGUGAGCACUGAGAUUCCUUACCAAUUCACUUAUGUUUCAACUAAACAUGAAGGGAUCACGAGGGGAUAAAACAUCAUUCGACAGCGCUGUGCAAAUUAAUAACUGUGUAGUAAAGGCGCAUGAUGUUACAGAAGCCUUUGCCCUCAGCUCCAUUGCCAGUCGGUUACGAAAUGCACCUAAGAAGAAAGAAAGGCUGGAU